rnacentral:rRNA from 1 species
UACGUAGGGGGCAAGCGUUGUCCGGAUUUAUUGGGCGUAAAGAGCGUGUAGGCGGUUAUACAGGUCCGCUGUGAAAACUGGAGGCUUAACCUCCAGACGUCGGUGGAAACCGUAUGACUAGAGUCCGGAAGAGGAGAGUGGAAUUCCUGGUGUAGCGGUGAAAUGCGCAGAUAUCAGGAAGAACGCCCGUGGCGAAGGCGGCUCUCUGGGACGGUACUGACGCUGAGACGCGAAAGCGUGGGGAGCGAACAGG